rnacentral:rRNA from 1 species
UACGUAGGGGGCGAGCGUUGUCCGGAUUUACUGGGCGUAAAGGGCACGCAGGCGGUGCGGCGCGUUUCGCGUGACAGCGGAGGGCUUAACUCUCCGAGGAUGCGAAAGACGGCGGCACUUGAGGGCCAGAGAGGGACACGGAAUUCCGGGUGGAGUGGUGAAAUGCGUAGAGAUCCGGAGGAACACCGAAGGCGAAGGCAGUGUCCUGGCUGGUGACUGACGCUGAGGUGUGAAAGCUAGGGGAGCGAACGGG